GGAGAAUUGGCAGAGUGGUCGAUUGCGGCAGUCUUGAAAACUGUUGUACCGCAAGGUACCGUAGGUUCGAAUCCUACAUUCUCCGCCA
rnacentral:tRNA from 4 species